rnacentral:rRNA from 1 species
AUACGUAGGUGGCAAGCGUUGUCCGGAAUUAUUGGGCGUAAAGCGCGCGCAGGCGGUCUUUUAAGUCUGAUGUGAGAGCCCCCGGCUCAACCGGGGAGGGUCAUUGGAAACUGGGAGACUUGAGUACAGAAGAGAAGAGUGGAAUUCCACGUGUAGCGGUGAAAUGCGUAGAGAUGUGGAGGAACACCAGUGGCGAAGGCGACUCUUUGGUCUGUAACUGACGCUGAGGUGCGAAAGCGUGGGGAGCGAACAGGAUUAGAUACCCUGGUAGUCCACGCCGUAAACGAUGAGUGCUAAGUGUUAGAGGGUUUCCGCCCUUUAGUGCUGCAGCAAACGCAUUAAGCACUCCGCCUGGGGAGUACGGCCGCAAGGCUGAA